GAUGAACGCUGACAGAAUGCUUAACACAUGCAAGUCUACUUGAAUUUGGGUUUUUUCUCUUUGAUUUGGGUGGCGGACGGGUGAGUAACGCGUAAAGCACUUGCCUCUCAGCUAGGGACAACAUUUGGAAACGAAUGCUAAUACCUGAUAUUAUGAUUAUAAGGCAUCUUAGAAUUAUGAAAGCUAUAUGCGCUGUGAGAGAGCUUUGCGUCCCAUUAGCUAGUUGGAGAGGUAACGGCUCACCAAGGCGAUGAUGGGUAGCCGGCCUGGGAGGGUGAACGGCCACAAAGGGACUGAGACACGGCCCGUACUCCUACGGGAGGCAGCAGUGGGGAAUAGUGGACAAUGGACCAAGAGUCUGAUCCAGCAAUUCUGUGUGCACGAUGACGUUUUUCGGAAUGUAAAGUGCUUUCAGUUGGGAAGAAAAAAAUGACGGUACCAACAGAAGAAGCGACGGCUAAAUACGUG
rnacentral:rRNA from 1 species